ACUCGAGUGGCGAACGGGUGAGUAACACGUGGGUGAUCUGCCCUGCACUUCGGGAUAAGCCUGGGAAACUGGGUCUAAUACCGGAUAGGAGCCAUUUUUAGUGUGAUGGUUGGAAAGUUUUUUCGGUGUAGGAUGAGCUCGCGGCCCAUCAGCUUGUUGGUGGGGUAAUGGCCUACCAAGGCGGCGACGGGUAGCCGGCCUGAGAGGGUGGACGGCCACAUUGGGACUGAGAUACGGCCCAG
rnacentral:rRNA from 1 species